rnacentral:rRNA from 1 species
GGGUUGUGAGGUUAAGCGACUAAGCGUACACGGUGGAUGCCCUGGCAGUCAGAGGCGAUGAAGGACGUGCUAAUCUGCGAAAAGCGUCGGUAAGGUGAUAUGAACCGUUACAGCCGGCGAUGUCCGAAUGGGGAAACCCAGUGCAAUUCGUUGCACUAUCGUUAACUGAAUACAUAGGUUAACGAGGCGAACCGGGGGAACUGAAACAUCUAAGUACCCCGAGGAAAAGAAAUCAACCGAGAUUCCCCCAGUAGCGGCGAGCGAACGGGGAGCAGCCCAGAGUCUGAAUCAGCUUGUGUGUUAGUGGAACGGUCUGGAAAGUCCGACGGUACAGGGUGAUAGUCCCGUACACCAAAAUGCACAGGUUGUGAACUCGAAGAGUAGGGCGGGACACGUGGUAUCCUGUCUGAAUAUGGGGGGACCAUCCUCCAAGGCUAAAUACUCCUGACUGACCGAUAGUGAACCAGUACCGUGAGGGAAAGGCGAAAAGAACCCCGGCGAGGGGAGUGAAAAAGAACCUGAAACCGUGUACGUACAAGCAGUGGGAGCACCUUCGGGUGUGACUGCGUACCUUUUGUAUAAUGGGUCAGCGACUUAUAUUCUGUAGCAAGGUUAACCGUAUAGGGGAGCCGCAGGGAAACCGAGUCUUAACUGGGCGUUAAGUUGCAGGGUAUAGACCCGAAACCCGGUGAUCUAGCCAUGGGCAGGUUGAAGGUUGGGUAACACUAACUGGAGGACCGAACCGACUAAUGUUGAAAAAUUAGCGGAUGACUUGUGGCUGGGGGUGAAAGGCCAAUCAAACCGGGAGAUAGCUGGUUCUCCCCGAAAGCUAUUUAGGUAGCGCCUCGUGAACUCAUCUUCGGGGGUAGAGCACUGUUUCGGCUAGGGGGUCAUCCCGACUUACCAACCCGAUGCAAACUACGAAUACCGAAGAAUGUUAUCACGGGAGACACACGGCGGGUGCUAACGUCCGUCGUGAAGAGGGAAACAACCCAGACCGCCAGCUAAGGUCCCAAAGUCACAGUUAAGUGGGAAACGAUGUGGGAAGGCACAGACAGCCAGGAUGUUGGCUUAGAAGCAGCCAUCAUUUAAAGAAAGCGUAAUAGCUCACUGGUCGAGUCGGCCUGCGCGGAAGAUGUAACGGGGCUAAACUGUGCACCGAAGCUGCGGCAGCGACACUAUGUGUUGUUGGGUAGGGGAGCGUUCUGUAAGCCUGCGAAGGUGGCCUGUGAGGGUUGCUGGAGGUAUCAGAAGUGCGAAUGCUGACAUAAGUAACGAUAAUGCGGGUGAAAAGCCCGCACGCCGGAAGACCAAGGGUUCCUGUCCAACGUUAAUCGGGGCAGGGUGAGUCGACCCCUAAGGCGAGGCCGAAAGGCGUAGUCGAUGGGAAACAGGUUAAUAUUCCUGUACUUGGUGUUACUGCGAAGGGGGGACGGAGAAGGCUAUGUUAGCCGGGCGACGGUUGUCCCGGUUUAAGCAUGUAGGCGGAGGUUCCAGGUAAAUCCGGUACCUUUUAACGCUGAGGUGUGAUGACGAGGCACUACGGUGCUGAAGUAACAAAUGCCCUGCUUCCAGGAAAAGCCUCUAAGCAUCAGGUAACAUUAAAUCGUACCCCAAACCGACACAGGUGGUCAGGUAGAGAAUACCAAGGCGCUUGAGAGAACUCGGGUGAAGGAACUAGGCAAAAUGGUGCCGUAACUUCGGGAGAAGGCACGCUGAUAUGUAGGUGAAGCCCCUGCGGGUGGAGCUGAAAUCAGUCGAAGAUACCAGCUGGCUGCAACUGUUUAUUAAAAACACAGCACUGUGCAAACACGAAAGUGGACGUAUACGGUGUGACGCCUGCCCGGUGCCGGAAGGUUAAUUGAUGGGGUUAUCCGUAAGGAGAAGCUCUUGAUCGAAGCCCCGGUAAACGGCGGCCGUAACUAUAACGGUCCUAAGGUAGCGAAAUUCCUUGUCGGGUAAGUUCCGACCUGCACGAAUGGCGUAAUGAUGGCCAGGCUGUCUCCACCCGAGACUCAGUGAAAUUGAACUCGCUGUGAAGAUGCAGUGUACCCGCGGCAAGACGGAAAGACCCCGUGAACCUUUACUAUAGCUUGACACUGAACAUUGAGCCUUGAUGUGUAGGAUAGGUGGGAGGCUUUGAAGCGUGGACGCCAGUCUGCGUGGAGCCAACCUUGAAAUACCACCCUUUAAUGUUUGAUGUUCUAACGUUGGCCCCUUAUCGGGGUUGCGGACAGUGUCUGGUGGGUAGUUUGACUGGGGCGGUCUCCUCCCAAAGAGUAACGGAGGAGCACGAAGGUUAGCUAAUCUUGGUCGGACAUCAGGAGGUUAGUGCAAUGGCAUAAGCUAGCUUGACUGCGAGCGUGACGGCGCGAGCAGGUGCGAAAGCAGGUCAUAGUGAUCCGGUGGUUCUGAAUGGAAGGGCCAUCGCUCAACGGAUAAAAGGUACUCCGGGGAUAACAGGCUGAUACCGCCCAAGAGUUCAUAUCGACGGCGGUGUUUGGCACCUCGAUGUCGGCUCAUCACAUCCUGGGGCUGAAGUAGGUCCCAAGGGUAUGGCUGUUCGCCAUUUAAAGUGGUACGCGAGCUGGGUUUAGAACGUCGUGAGACAGUUCGGUCCCUAUCUGCCGUGGGCGCUGGAGAAUUGAGGGGGGCUGCUCCUAGUACGAGAGGACCGGAGUGGACGCAUCACUGGUGUUCGGGUUGUCAUGCCAAUGGCAUUGCCCGGUAGCUAAAUGCGGAAGAGAUAAGUGCUGAAAGCAUCUAAGCACGAAACUUGCCCCGAGAUGAGUUCUCCCUGAGACUUUAAGUCUCCUGAAGGAACGUUAAAGACGAUGACGUUGAUAGGUCGGGUGUGUAAGCGUAGCGAUACGUUGAGCUAACCGAUACUAAUGAACCGUGAGGCUUAACCUUACAACGCCGAAGGUGUUU